rnacentral:rRNA from 1 species
UACGUAGGGUCCGAGCGUUAAUCGGAAUUACUGGGCGUAAAGCGUGCGCAGGCGGUUUUGUAAGCCAGAUGUGAAAGCCCCGGGCUCAACCUGGGAACAGCGCUUGAGACUGGCACGCUCGAGUUCGGGAGAGGAUGGUGGAAUUCCCAGUGUAGAGGUGAAAUUCGUAGAUAUUGGGAAGAACACCGAUGGCGAAGGCAGCCAUCUGGACCGACACUGACGCUGAGGCGCGAAAGCGUGGGGAGCAAACAGG